rnacentral:lncRNA from 1 species
GGGACCUCAUGCUCCGACAAGCUUAAGUAUCCAAACUUAUUGAAUAGGGCCAACCAUCUCCAAAUUAAGAAGGUCCGCAUCGGAUCUCGGAGGUCAUCUGACCAAGACCCUAUAGACUUGAAGAGCUCAAUGGCAAGACCAUUCUCCAAACAUGGAAUGGCGAAAGCCUAAAGAUGUAUCAUCAAUAAGCUUUCGAGCUUGUACUACUGAAAAAUCAAUGACAUAUACAUUUUCUCUUCUCAAUUCUCUUUUAAAAAAAAAUUCUAAGUAUCAAAAAUCAGA